GCAAGGCACAUAUUAGAGGCCACAUAUUAGAGAUAGAUCUCGAUUACUUAUGGGGGCAGUCGCGCUUGUACGGCGGGCACCGAUCAUCCUUAUUUUGGGCUACGCAGUAUCGUUCACCUUUGCCGCAAUCAAACACUGGCUUACCACUAUCUAGGCUCCCAAGGGCGCCGGCAUUCGUAGAGGGAACGAGAAUCCUGUUAAUUUCAGAAUCCAUCAUGAACUCCCAAUCCAUGUUGGAAUCAGCCAUGGAGGAGUACAAGAGGACGUCACCGUCCAUUUUCGGAAGUAAAAUGCUAGCACCGCAACUUAUGGUGUUGAGCAUCAUCAUCAACAAUAACGACGAUGUUAGAGCUGACAAGGAAAGACUCUUCAUAGUACCUCUCUUGUGUUUCGCUAGCUCUUUUAAUGCUGCCUAGCUAAUCUAAGAUAAAAGAGGGCAGCUAGCUCUGUAUAUAAGGGAUAGGGUGGCAGUGAUGGUGAUGUUGAGGUAGAUAAGAUGAGGAACGUGGCAACGAUGGAUUGGUUAAGUCAUAUUUUCCAAUAUAUGAAAUUAAUUGACAUCACAAGAGAUCCCUUUCAUGCGCGAUGAAUUGAGUGGACCAACAGCCCUAUUCUUG